rnacentral:tRNA from 1 species
AGCCACCAGCGAGAUUCGAACUCGCGACCCCUGGUUUACGAGAUAAAUGCUCUAACCUCUGAGCUAUGGUGGC